rnacentral:lncRNA from 1 species
CAGCUGGCUACACAUUGAACAGUUCUUACAAAUUGCCGGAAACGCGGCAGCACACGGAUCCGAUAUGUUUCAGGACAGUCAUUAUUAAGAAGAAAUACCAUGUGUCAAUCUCCCAAAGACCUUCGAGGGCAUUAUCCUCCUAAAAUCCCUUAAUUACUGCUCUGGGGCUCACAUGUGUUCCUGGCCCGCAGCAUGCACGAGAGGGGAGUGCUGGCAGCAGUCACCCCGGUGUGAUGUUCAUUAACUUCCUCAGCCUCUGCUCUUUCCUCUUCUGAGCAGCAGAGGGAAGAAAGCUUGCUAGGAGGCUGCAAAGAGAGCAAGAAGGGUUCCAGGCUGACAGGAGCCAUGGUGGGACAGAGCAUUUUGAAGUACGAAAGCAUUUUGCCACAACUUUCAGCCAUUCUUUCAUCUAUCGAGGAAUGUGAGUGUUCUAAUUUCUGCAGGGGAUUACUAAUUCAUUACAGGCUUUUGGCAAAACCCAUGCAAGUUCUGCUCAUUACACAUUUUGAUGACUGUAUGUUUCUCUGCGUGUGCUUCUGUACAAUAGGUGAAGUAUGAUUUCAUACAGUGUGGCUAUUCAUUGAGGAAAAAGAGGGCUUUACCCUUACCUGUGACUUAUUGGGUUUACGGUUUAUUGUGAUUUGGUCUUUAAAUGGCCACACUGAGCAUCCUUUAAAGAGAGAGGGAUGUGUCCCUACCUAUAGCAGAGGAGUUGGAACUAGGUGAUCUGAAAGGUCCCUUCCAAC